AUUGAACGCUGGCGGCAUGCCUUACACAUGCAAGUCGAACGGCAGCGCGGGAGCAAUCCUGGCGGCGAGUGGCGAACGGGUGAGUAAUGCAUCGGAACGUGCCUAGUAGUGGGGGAUAACUGCUCGAAAGAGCAGCUAAUACCGCAUACGACCUGAGGGUGAAAGGGGGGGAUCGCAAGACCUCUCGCUAUUAGAGCGGCCGAUGUCGGAUUAGCUAGUUGGUGGGGUAAAGGCCCACCAAGGCAACGAUCCGUAGCUGGUCUGAGAGGACGACCAGCCACACUGGGACUGAGACACGGCCCAGACUCCUACGGGAGGCAGCAGUGGGGAAUUUUGGACAAUGGACGCAAGUCUGAUCCAGCCAUGCCGCGUGCGGGAAGAAGGCCUUCGGGUUGUAAACCGCUUUUGUCAGGGAAGAAAUCUUCUGGGCUAAUACCCCGGGAGGAUGACGGUACCUGAAGAAUAAGCACCGGCUAACUACGUGCCAGCCGCCGCCGUAA
rnacentral:rRNA from 1 species